UGAACGCUAGCGGCAGGCUUAACACAUGCAAGUCGAGGGGUAUGCCGAUUUAUCGGCAGAGACCGGCGCACGGGUGCGUAACGCGUAUGCAAUCUACCUUUCACAGAGGGAUAGCCCAGAGAAAUUUGGAUUAAUACCGCAUAGUAUAGCAAUUUCGCAUGAAACCACUAUUAAAGUUCCAACGGUGAAAGAUGAGCAUGCGUCCCAUUAGCUAGAUGGUAAGGUAACGGCUUACCAUGGCUACGAUGGGUAGGGGUCCUGAGAGGGAGAUCCCCCACACUGGUACUGAGACACGGACCAGACUCCUACGGGAGGCAGCAGUGAGGAAUAUUGGUCAAUGGACGCAAGUCUGAACCAGCCAUGCCGCGUGCAGGAUGACGGUCCUAUGGAUUGUAAACUGCUUUUGUACGGAACGAAACGGUGAGCUCUAAUACAGUUUGCUAAUGACGGUACCGUAAGAAUAAGCACCGGCUAACUACGUG
rnacentral:rRNA from 1 species